rnacentral:rRNA from 1 species
ACAGGAAUAUGGCAGAGAUGUCAUAGCCGCAAGGUCUGUAUACAGGUGGUGCAUGGUUGUCGUCAGCUCGUGUCGUGAGAUGUUGGGUUAAGUCCCGCAACGAGCGCAACCCUCGUUCUGUGUUGCCAGCAUUUAGUUGGGGACUCACAGGAGACUGCCGGGGUUAACUCGGAGGAAGGUGGGGAUGACGUCAAAUCAUCAUGCCCCUUAUGUCUUGGGCUGCACGCAUGCUACAAUGGCUGGUACAAACGGCUGCAAUACCGCAAGGUGGAGCGAAUCCGAGAAAGCCAGUCUCAGUUCGGAUUGGGGUCUGCAACUCGACCCCAUGAAGUCGGAGUUGCUAGUAAUCGUAGAUCAGCAACGCUACGGUGAAUACGUUCCCGGGGCUUGUACACACCGCCCGUCACAUCACGAAUCGGUAACACCACAAAGUCAGUGGCCCAACCGCAAGGAGG